rfam:Trichobilharzia regenti genome assembly, scaffold: TRE_scaffold0049392
GUACUACCGAUGAGUCCCAAACUAGGACGAAACAGCUGUCCAGUAC